AUAAAACUGGUAAUGGAGAAAAGUAGUUAAGAAUCGCACGUGCAGAGAGGAAUAGCCUAGGCUGAAAGUUAUUCCCGUCAGCGCCUUAAUGAAUGAACACUCCGGAGGUUUUUCUUUGAACGAAGCAUCGCUUUUAAUAGGAGAAAACGUAAGCAGGCGUUAACUGGAAAAGUGAAAGCUGUAAAAAGCUUUAACUAGGGUGGUACCACGGGAAUAAGACUCUCGUCCCUUGU
rnacentral:ncRNA from 1 species